AUGAGGUUUCAGUGAGUAACUCAGAAUAUGGGUCUGUGAACAUGACAAUCCCUAUAGGAAGCGGAAAUCCAGGUCUGCACAAGCCACUUCCCUGUUAAAGUCAUACUUGGCAGAACCUCUCCAAGAAGCAGGCCGAGACGACUCUGACGCAAUUGCGUCUCCACUGUUCACCCCGACCCUGCGGAGGAGAACUAGCGGCUUGCUAGAGAACUGCGAUGCAAGGAGCUCCUGGCGCCUUUGCCGACACCGAGCAGCCUGUCCACGUGCUUGUGGUAAGAAGCUGGGGGUAACUCGACAUGUGUCCGCGAGUUCCACAAGAUCUCCCACUGGUG